AGUACACUGAAAUAAAUCAAUGAGACUAUUUUAUUGGAUAUUUCAUAUAAGAUCGACUCCGUGCUGAACUUGUAUGUUUUAUAUGUGUAACUGUUUAGGUUCACCUGCGAUCAAAUAAAAAUAACAAAAAGUAGAGCCAUUUUGGAUCAUAUGCGUAUACUAUAUGUUCAGCACUAGCUUUGCAUAUAACUUUGAUAGAUCCACCUCUGUGGUGCUUACUAUAUGCAUGUUCGUCAUAUCGAUAGUAUGAUUUCAGCACUACAGCACUGGAAGUAAAUUUACAAAAUGGUGAAAAAACAAAAGUUCCGAACUUGGCAUUUCUGUGCUUUGACUUUAUCAUGCUUGCCAUCUAAAGAUGAUACUGUUUGCUACUAUAAAUGGUUCUCUUGAGCGGCUUUUACAUUGAGAGAAGGUGAAAAUCAUAAGUUACGGAUUAAGGCCUUCUUGUGCAGCGAUUUGAAUCUGCAGAAAGAUGAUGGAUUGCUACGCAUGAAAACGGUAUCUUGGAAAAAUCGUCCAGGAAUUUAGCAUUUAGAUUUCAUUCUGGACCCAACUACAACAUAAUGAAGUGACCAAUGCGAGCUGUCAAUGAUCAAGUAUUAUAUAUUUAU
rnacentral:lncRNA from 1 species